UGGGGAAUAUUGGACAAUGGGGGAAACCCUGAUCCAGCCAUGCCGCGUGUGUGAAGAAGGCCUUCGGGUUGUAAAGCACUUUAAGCGAGGAGGAAGGUUCGUUGGUUAAUAACCAGCGGAAUUGACGUUACUCGCAGAAUAAGCACCGGCUAACUCUGUGCCAGCAGCCGCGGUAAUACAGAGGGUGCAAGCGUUGUCCGGAUUUACUGGGUGUAAAGGGUGCGCAGGCGGAUGGGUAAGUCAGGGGUGAAAGUCUGCAGCUUAACUGUAGAAUUGCCUUUGAUACUGCUCAUCUUGAGUGUGGGAGAGGUUGAUGGAAUUCCAGGUGUAGCAGUGAAAUGCGUAGAUAUCUGGAAGAACACCAGUGGCGAAGGCGGUCAACUGGCCCAUAACUGACGCUCAUGCACGAAAGCGUGGGGAGCAAACA
rnacentral:rRNA from 1 species